rnacentral:sRNA from 1 species
UACGAGAGGAACCGCAGUUUCGGACAUU